CGCCAUCGAUGACGAAGUAUUCGGCGAUCCAUAAAAUGGGGAUCGGCAGGCCCUUCUGUUGGCCUUCGCGGAAGGUCCUCUGUAGCAAUCCGGCUGUAAAAAUUCCAAUCGCUUAGACUCUAAUAAGAAUCACUUGGAAUUAUGUGUACUUGGACAAAUGCUUAUCGAUAUUUGCAUUCACCAUCAAAUUCCUGAAGAAUGCAUCUUUAUUUUCAAUUUAUUCUAAAUAUUACCUUCCAGUGUGAUGUUCACCGACCUCAAUCCUAUCUUGACUUCCAUUUGGGCGUCGAUUUCCUGGCCCACACCAGCUCGAUAUGGCGUCUUACUCCUCGUGCUGCCGUAUUCCCAUUCCUGUCCGAAAUUCUCUACUGCAAAGUUAGAUGAAUGCUAGAUAAAUUCUACGUAUCAUAUA